rnacentral:misc_RNA from 1 species
UUGAUUCAUUUUUUAUAAGACUCAGACGCUACUGUUCAGACAGAGUUUGAGGUCCUCUGGCGGGCUGGCCGAGGCCAGUGGCGCCGUGUCUCGCACGGACCUGCCCGCCAAAGCAACAGAAGUGAUAAACAAAGGGUGGGAGUUGGGACCCAGAGGCCCCGGAACUCGGUAAUGAUCCUUCCGCAGGUUCACCUACGGAAA